rnacentral:rRNA from 1 species
UCAGUAACACGUAGUCAACAUGCCCAGGGGACGUGGAUAACCUCGGGAAACUGAGGAUAAACCGCGAUAGGUCAUCAUUUCUGGAGUGAUUGAUGGCCCAAAUCUAUAUGGCCUCUGGAUUGGACUGCGGCCGAUCAGGCUGUUGGUGAGGUAAUGGCCCACCAAACCUGUUACCGGUACGGGCUCUGAGAGGAGGAGCCCGGAGAUGGGCACUGAGACAAGGGCCCAGGCCCUAUGGGGCGCAGCAGGCGCGAAACCUCUGCAAUAGGCGAAAGCCUGACAGGGUUACUCUGAGUGGUUUCCGCUAAGGAAACCUUUUGGACACCUCUACAAAUGGUGCAGAAUAAGGGGUGGGCAAGUCUGGUGCCAG